rnacentral:rRNA from 1 species
GAAGGAUCAUUACAGUAUUCUUUUUGCCAGCGCUUAAUUGCGCGGCGAAAAAACCUUACACACAGUGUUUUUUGUUAUUACAAGAACUUUUGCUUUGGUCUGGACUAGAAAUAGUUUGGGCCAGAGGUUUACUGAACUAAACUUCAAUAUUUAUAUUGAAUUGUUAUUUAUUUAAUUGUCAAUUUGUUGAUUAAAUUCAAAAAAUCUUCAAAACUUUCAACAACGGAUCUCUUGGUUCUCGCAUCGAUGAAGAACGCAGCGAAAUGCGAUAAGUAAUAUGAAUUGCAGAUUUUCGUGAAUCAUCGAAUCUUUGAACGCACAUUGCGCCCUCUGGUAUUCCAGAGGGCAUGCCUGUUUGAGCGUCAUUUCUCUCUCAAACCUUCGGGUUUGGUAUUGAGUGAUACUCUUAGUCGAACUAGGCGUUUGCUUGAAAUGUAUUGGCAUGAGUGGUACUGGAUAGUGCUAUAUGACUUUCAAUGUAUUAGGUUUAUCCAACUCGUUGAAUAGUUUAAUGGUAUAUUUCUCGGUAUUCUAGGCUCGGCCUUACAAUAUAACAAACAAGUUUGACCUCAAAUCAGGUAGGAUUACCCGCUGAACUUAAGCAUAUCAAUAAGCGGAGGAAAAGAAACCAACAGGGAUUGCCUUAGUAACG